AAGAAUUCAAAGGUCGAACAGACCUAAACUUUAAACUUCUACACCUAAAAAUAAUUCUUAAUCCAACAUCGAGGUCGCAAUCUUUUUUGUCGAUAAGAACUCUAAAAAAAAAUUACG
rnacentral:rRNA from 1 species